GACGGAAGGUGCAAGCGUUGCUCGGAAUCACUGGGCGUAAAGGGUGCGUAGGCGGCCGUGCAAGUCUGGCGUGAAAGCCCCGGGCUCAGCCCGGGAAGUGCGCUCGAAACUGCGCGGCUCGGGUGCCGGAGGGGAGAGUGGAAUUCCUGGUGUAGCGGUGAAAUGCGUAGAUAUCAGGAGGAACACCCGUGGCGAAGGCGGCUCUCUGGGACGGUACUGACGCUGAGACGCGAAAGCGUGGGGAGCAAACAGG
rnacentral:rRNA from 1 species